rnacentral:rRNA from 1 species
UCGGGAAUCUUCCGCAAUGGGCGAAAGCCUGACGGAGCGACGCCGCGUGAGUGAUGAAGGCCUUCGGGUUGUAAAGCUCUGUGGGGAGAGAAGAAUAAGUGCAGGCGAAUACUCUGCAUGAUGACGGUAUCUCCUUAGCAAGCACCGGCUAACUCUGUGCCAGCAGCCGCGGUAAGACAGAGGGUGCAAACGUUGUUCGGAUUUACUGGGCGUAAAGCGCGUGUAGGCGGCUUCGCAAGUUGGAUGUGAAAUCCCACGGCUCAACCGUGGACGUGCAUCCAAAACUGCGUCGCUAGAGUCUCGGAGAGGAAGGUGGAAUGCUUGGUGUAGAGGUGAAAUUCGUAGAUAUCAAGCAGAACACCUGCGGCGAAGGCGGCCUUCUGGACGAUGACUGACGCUG